AGCUCCCUCCUUGGUGAAGCUUCCCCUGCAAACCUGGAAUCUUCUGAUACGUCUGUCUUCAGGACUGGUUUCCAAGCAGACAACACAUCUGCCAACCCAGCCAUCUCCCAGCACAGACCUCGGCCAUUCAUCUGUGAACACGUGUUUCAUCCAGAUCCACAGCUGCAUGUAUUCCACAGCUUGUAGAUACAGCCUGGAAAGAGAGCGACUGCUUGUUCUUGAGAGAGCUGCAGCAAGAGUACGUGAGCAUCAAAAGAAUCACGAAUCAGCUAAUCAGGAGUUCCGAUUGUCUGGGUAUCAAAUCAGUUGUAUUUAGUGGAAUAAAGUAGGUAGUCACCACUGGAGCCUGAUUACCUUUUUAAAGAGUGCUGCCUGAUUAGGUUAAACUUUGUGCCAUUUAUGGCUGAUUUUGGAUAAAUGGGAAAAGUCAGAGAUGGGAUCAGACAUGUAAGCUGGUCCAGAUUUUGAGAGUGAAAAAUUCAGACUUGAAGCCAAACCAAGAUCCAUGUUCUGCUCCCAGAUCCUCCAAGCUGGAGCUCUUUGGUGUUCUUGUGUAGGAAAUUAUUUGCUACCAUGCUUCAUGUAGAGCCAUGGAACUAACUUAACUCUUUAGGCCUCGUGAAGGCAUGUGUCCUCAGUACUGAGCUUUAACCAAAUAAAAGGUGCUGAAAUACUGAGUGGUUUGGAUGCACACAGAUGUGCAUAAGAAGGUAUUUCAUCAGUUCCAUGGCUUUCAAUCCAGCAUCUUUGCAGGUCACCACAUGUAUUCUGUUUAAGCCUUUUGAUUAAUUACGCCGUACCCAAACCAUACAUAUUUAUAGCUUGCAGAACGAGAUAAAUUCUCCAGAUGUGGCUUCCUUUUAGUUAAGUGGAGAUGAAUGGAGAUCAAAGCCUUUGAUGUGCAGCCUGCCUCCAACUCACUGCUGACACCGGCCGCUGGAAAUCAUGCACUGAAGGGAGCUGGGCACUCCAAACUUGGGUAUGAGGCAGCUAAAGCAAAACCUAUGGGGAAAACGGUUUGUGGAGGAUAAAUCUAUGUGCGCCAUUGGGUCCCUACUUGUGAAAGUGGAAGGCAGUAUUCAAUGAACCCUUUACUCUUAAACAACGCAUUUAAGUAGAUCAAUUUUAUGUUCCAGCCCAGAAAUGAUUUAAGGCUUUUCAGUGCAUGGAUAUCCUCUGUGAUACACAGAACUGGCAGAAAAUGUCAUCGUGAGCUGCUUUAUAGCCUCAAUUAAGGCUAUUUCCAUUGCUCCAGAUGCGUAAAGCAGACUUAUAGCUGAGUUCCUGCUAUAGAGAAAUCCCUGGUGUGUCCUCGGAUCAGAGCUGCCAGCUCAAUGAUGUCUUCUUCACAACCCUUGGAAAAAAUGAUGGAUAGCCAGGGAGCUGCAAAUUCAGAUUGAGCUCUCACACUACGAUCACUUACAGGAGUCUCAGCCGGUUGGAGCCAUAGCACAGUGCUUACCCAGUGGCCAAGUGGCUGCUCUGCCCGUCUCUGCCACUUUGGAAGCUGCCUGCAUGAUGUGCCAAGGGAGCUCUGGCUGCUGUGCUUUGCAUCUUGAACUGCUCUGUACAAUGAAGCUGAUACUACAAAAAAAAAUCCAACCCAAACUCGAAGGCACCAUGGAAGCAUUGGCCUGAAGUGACCCCCAGCAAUCUGGGCCAGAACCUGAAGAUGUGGAUUGAGGGCUUUCUCUGAGACUUAUGGGCAAUUUUUGGAUGUAAAAGAUGAGCAGAAGUGUUGAAGGUGGAGCUCUUGAGCACCUCAUGUAGUGAGAAGAAAGGAGAUGAAAAUCUGAAAGUGGAAGACUGGUGAUGCUGCCAAAGGACCUCUAGUGUUCAUGGUCCAUAGAAGGAAAGGGAAGCUGGUCUUAACAACAGGGAGUUCCAUGAGCUUGGGGAACUGAUGGCUUCCAUGGGAGGGAAGAGGCCAAAAUGCCAAUUACUCCAGUGCAUAGAAAAUACAGGAGAUGCAGCUGGUCUCCUGAAUCAAAUUCCUUAUUGGCAUCAGAGGAAAUAACCGUGAAAACUGGUUGGUCUGUAAGAUUACUGCAGAUGAUCGUAAAGAAAUAGCUCAAAUCUGUAAAGGAAAAACAUAAAUGAAGAAAAUCCAAUGUAGCUAGUAAUAGACUUUAGGGGUAACAAGAAAUGGUUCUUGAACCCACUGAUAAGAGGAGGGAGAGCAAAUUAAAGAUUUGUCUGUUACUUCAGCGAGAGAAAGAGCUCCUAAUCAAUGAAAAUAAGGAGUUUAUGUUCCUUCUGUCCAGUCUUCAAUAAGAAACAAAUGGUGUAUAAGCAUGUGCCACAAUUAAUAUUAACACAUGAAAAAAUCAGUCUAGAUGAGGGAAGAACAGACUAAAGAGCUCUUAGAUAAGUCAGAGGUUUUUAAAUUGGCUGGGGCUGCCUUAAUCCUACAGUACUGAAGAACUGGCUUUGGUAAUCUCAGAACUGUUAAUGGUAUCUCUGAAUUCAUGGGAGGACUGGGGUGAUAGCAGAAAACUGAUGUAUUGCUUAUCUCUGAAAGGUGGGAGAGGUGAGGGAAGAAGGAGCAGGAGAGUAAUGCAACAGUCAGCUUACCCAGAACAUCCAGAAAACUGCUGCAACAAAUAAUCACCACCCUGGAAAAUAAGAUGAGCAGCAGCCAGUACAGGUUUGCUGAGAACAGAUCGUGUCAAAGCACUCUAAUUUCAGUUUAAAGACUAACAGACCGUGUGGCUAGAAGGAAAGCAGUAGAUGUCAAAUAUAUUGACUUCUGUCAGGCAUUUGACAGUGCAGAUAUUUUUUGUCCUCUUGCAGCACUUUCAUUUCCUUUAUAUUUUUUAGGAAGAUAAUUUAGAGGAAAAUUAAAACUGGGCAUCACCCAAUUUAAAGCAUCCUUUUAAGCCUAAUGCUCCAAUGUAAUGUCCGAAGUUCAUGGUGAGCCUCAGAGCUUGUAAAGGCUGCCAUGGUAAGCUCUUCCAUGCCUCUCAAGAGCUAAGCUGGGGGCUCAGAUCACCUGUUAAGUGACAAAGUGUUGUGUCUUUGCAGUCAGUGAGUACAGGGAAGGGAGCAAGCCAUAAAGCAUCCUCUACUGCAGACCCACCUGGAGCAGUGUUUGACCCUCCAGACAGUAGCUAAAAGUCAAAGGCACUGCCUGGUAGUGAUGGAUGUUAUUCAUUGCCAGGAACUCUGAGGCUUCUGCAAUGCCACAGGUGCACAGCCUACCCCAAGAGAGGUGCUCCAGUUUUGCAGCGAUGCUAAGGUUGCCAUUUCCCAUCAGCCUGUACCCUCUGCAAGGUGCCUUUACUUCUACCAUCCAAGAAAUGCCUACAACCAAAGCUGUACCCCCAGAGGUGGCUGCUUCUCACUGUCAUAGCAGUGGGCAGCACCAAGCAGCACAUCUGUCCAGGGCAGCCCUGCUCCUUCCUCACCUGGGCAGUGCUGUGCUGCAGGCAGCUGCUCGUGGCCUGGCCCUUCCUGUGGCAGGCAGCAGAACAAAUCAGACACUUUGCAUUUCAUCAACCUUCCUGGAGAGCGCUGCACAAUUGUUCCCACAGCAGGAUGCUGAGCAAGCCGGCCUCAGUGAGCACCACCUUCCUCUGCAUCGCUUCAUCUGUCUGGAAGAAAGGAAUCAAGGGAAGGAAAUGAAGACGUUACAUCUGUAAUCAUAUUUCACAGCUGCACAGCAAUUUUCCUCCCGGUGCAUUCAGCAGCUGGGAUGCUGUGACCUCUGCCAUAGCAGGCAGCAGCCAGCCCAUGGCUUACUGUGCAGCUUAUGGAGGAGUGCUUUGCUUAGAGCAAAAGACAUCCUUUUUGUUUUCAGGUGUUCUCGCAAUAUUCCCUGGCAGAGGUCACCUUGCAGUGCUGGAGGGUCAGGCAGUUGCUUCCCUUGUAAGGUGAAGGGCAGCUGUGCUACUGCCUGUCCCCUCCCUGGCACAUGUUGGCUGGCUGGGGCCUGGCAGUGGUUCCAGCAUGUGAAGCGCCAGGAAAAUGCAGCAUAGUUGAAUCCCUGUGUAGUGUGAGAGAAGCUAAGUUAUGGAACAGGGCUGAGGAAAACUGAGAGAUGUCCUCUGCAUGUGAAAACAUUCAGGAAAUCAUCCUUUGCUAUUUACAUCUGUAGUUGCUGGGUGUCAUUUGCAAGGCACGUUCUGCGUUCACCAUGCCCAGGUCAGCCUUGUGUUUGAAUGCUGUCCACAGGAGUGUCAGCCCAGCAGGACUUAUGCCUGCACAAACAGAACAGCAAGGCCUGAACAUCCCUUCCCAUGCCAUGUGCUGGGACAAACAGCCCGUGGAGAGCAGCAGGGCGUUCCCAGAAGGGCUGAGGAUGUGGCCAAACAGUCCUGGCAGCAGGUGCCAGGGUGGAAGUGGCUGUGGUUCCAGAUAAGAUGUCAGGUGCAGUGUGGGACUGCUGGGGAGCACUCAGGGCAGUGCUGCUGGGGCUUCUGCAACGUCCACACACCUUUAAAAAUCCAUUUCUAAAUACUUAAUAUGAAUUGCAAACGAUGUAGUUGACACUAAUAUCUAUUUCUCUUGUCUGUAAAGUGUGGUACUCCAAGCUGAAUGCCUGUUUUGCACCCUGUGAGUGGGGCUGCUGCUGUGCUGUAGCACAUUCUUGCACAGUUCAUUGCUGGAGCAUGUGGUUUCAGCACGUCCUAAUGCAAUAGGUGCAGAUUGUUCCUUGUUUUGUGUACAUAUGUGUGGAACUGAGAAUGAUAAUUAAAUUGAUCCUUUCUUUCUCACUGAAAGCUGACAGUUGACCCUCGUGUAUAGAUUCAUUACUGCAUAUACUGUUUCUGUGCUGAGGCACUUUUUUUUUUCCACCAGUCUGAGGGCAGCUCUGCCCAAUGCUUUCAGCUCUCAUUGCCUUCUCUUGAAAACAGAAACAGUCAUAUGAAAAUUUGAAAGUACUGAAAAACUUGAGAUGCUAAAUGGGAGCUCUCUAA